GGGAGAGAGAGCCUGGCUGCCGCGAUGGUGCCACCGGCAACGGUGACAUCACCACAGCCCGGCGUGACUCCUCGAGUCGCGUCGGGCGACACGUGACCCGUCCCCCGGGAUGUGUCACGCACGCGAGGAAAGUCCCCCCACCUGUUCGGGCAGGUGACCGGGCGCAAGUCCGGAGCGGGAGACCGCUGGCUCUGGAACAGAAACGACACGUCUCGGCCCGACCGAUGAUGCGCGCGAACCCGACCGAGAGGAAGGGGAGUUGACCCGCAGAGGAUGGCGGUCGCGGAGCUGUGGUUCGAACCCACAGGUCGUGGACGCGGUUCGGCGUGCUUCGAGCACGAGAACCGCGAGCCGUGCGACGGCGCGUGCCGUCGCACGGACCGUCACGACCGACCGCACACGGACGGCCGAGGAUCGAUGGAACGGCGAACCCUCACCGGUGCAAGUCCGCGCCGUGGUAGCCCGAACGCCCCGCGGCCUCGCCGCGGACGGCGCGGACGCUCAGCCGAAUGCCGGGUCGAACAGAAGGGGGCUUACUCCUCUCACCC
rnacentral:RNase_P_RNA from 1 species